rnacentral:rRNA from 1 species
UACGGAGGGGGCAAGCGUUGUUCGGAAUUACUGGGCGUAAAGGGCGCGUAGGCGGCCUUCUAAGUCGAACGUGAAAUCCCCGGGCUCAACCCGGGAACUGCGUCCGAGACUGGAAGGCUCGAAUCCGGGAGAGGGAUGUGGAAUUCCAGGUGUAGCGGUGAAAUGCGUAGAUAUCUGGAGGAACAUCGGUGGCGAAGGCGGCAUCCUGGACCGGUAUUGACGCUGAGGCGCGAAAGCCAGGGGAGCAAACGGG